rnacentral:rRNA from 1 species
GAAUGCUGACAUAAGUAACGAUAAAGCGGGUGAAAAGCCCGCUCGCCGGAAGACCAAGGGUUCCUGUCCAACGUUAAUCGGGGCAGGGUGAGUCGACCCCUAAGGCGAGGCCGAAAGGCGUAGUCGAUGGGAAACAGGUUAAUAUUCCUGUACUUGGUGUUACUGCGAAGGGGGGACGGAGAAGGCUAUGUCAGCCGGGCGACGGUUGUCCCGGUUUAAGCAUGUAGGCGGAGGUUCCAGGUAAAUCCGGUACCUUGUUAACGCUGAGGUGUGAUGACGAGGCACUACGGUGCUGAAGUGAUAAAUGCCCUGCUUCCAGGAAAAGCCUCUAAGCAUCAGGUAACACGAAAUCGUACCCCAAACCGACACAGGUGGUCAGGUAGAGAAUACCAAGGCGCUUGAGAGAACUCGGGUGAAGGAACUAGGCAAAAUGGUGCCGUAACUUCGGGAGAAGGCACGCUGAUAUGUAGGUGAAGUCCCUGCGGACGGAGCUGAAAUCAGUCGAAGAUACCAGCUGGCUGCAACUGUUUAUUAAAAACACAGCACUGUGCAAACACGAAAGUGGACGUAUACGGUGUGACGCCUGCCCGGUGCCGGAAGGUUAAUUGAUGGGGUUAGCGGCAACGCGAAGCUCUUGAUCGAAGCCCCGGUAAACGGCGGCCGUAACUAUAACGGUCCUAAGGUAGCGAAAUUCCUUGUCGGGUAAGUUCCGACCUGCACGAAUGGCGUAAUGAUGGCCAGGCUGUCUCCACCCGAGACUCAGUGAAAUUGAACUCGCUGUGAAGAUGCAGUGUACCCGCGGCAAGACGGAAAGACCCCGUGAACCUUUACUAUAGCUUGACACUGAACACUGGUCCUUGAUGUGUAGGAUAGGUGGGAGGCUUUGAAGCGUGGACGCCAGUCUGCGUGGAGCCAACCUUGAAAUACCACCCUUUAAUGGCUGGUGUUCUAACGUAGACCCGUAAUCCGGGUUGCGGACAGUGUCUGGUGGGUAGUUUGACUGGGGCGGUCUCCUCCCAAAGAGUAACGGAGGAGCACGAAGGUUGGCUAAUCCUGGUCGGACAUCAGGAGGUUAGUGCAAUGGCAUAAGCCAGCUUGACUGCGAGCGUGACGGCGCGAGCAGGUGCGAAAGCAGGUCAUAGUGAUCCGGUGGUUCUGAAUGGAAGGGCCAUCGCUCAACGGAUAAAAGGUACUCCGGGGAUAACAGGCUGAUACCGCCCAAGAGUUCAUAUCGACGGCGGUGUUUGGCACCUCGAUGUCGGCUCAUCACAUCCUGGGGCUGAAGUAGGUCCCAAGGGUAUGGCUGUUCGCCAUUUAAAGUGGUACGCGAGCUGGGUUUAGAACGUCGUGAGACAGUUCGGUCCCUAUCUGCCGUGGGCGCUGGAGAAUUGAGGGGGGCUGCUCCUAGUACGAGAGGACCGGAGUGGACGCAUCACUGGUGUUCGGGUUGUCAUGCCAAUGGCACU